rnacentral:rRNA from 1 species
ACGGAAGGCAGCAGUGGGGAAUAUUGCACAAUGGGCGCAAGCCUGAUGCAGCGACGCCGCGUGAAGGAAGAAGGUCCUCGGAUUGUAAACUUCUUUUAUCAGGGACGAAGAAAGUGACGGUACCUGAUGAAUAAGCCACGGCUAACUACGUGCCAGCAGCCGCGGUAAUACGUAGGUGGCGAGCGUUAUCCGGAUUUACUGGGUGUAAAGGGCGCGUAGGCGGGGAUGCAAGUCAGAUGUGAAAUCCAUGGGCUUAACUCAUGAACUGCAUUUGAAACUGUAUCUCUUGAGUGUCGGAGAGGUAGAUGGAAUUCCUAGUGUAGCGGUGAAAUGCGUAGAUAUUAGGAGGAACACCAGUGGCGAAGGCGAUCUACUGGACGAUAACUGACGCUGAGGCGCGAAAGCGUGGGGAGCAAACAGGAUUAGAUACCCUGGUA